UACGGGGGGUGCGAGCGUUGUCCGGAAUCACUGGGCGUAAAGGGCGCGUAGGCGGCGUCGUAAGUCUGUGGUGAAAGCCCGGAGCUCAACUCCGGGUCUGCCGCGGAUACUGCGAGGCUUGAGUGCUGUAGAGGGGGGUAGAAUGCCGGGUGUAGCGGUGGAAUGCGUAGAGAUCCGGCAGAAGACCGGUGGCGAAGGCGGCCCCCUGGGCAUUAACUGACACUGAGGCGCGACAGCGUGGGGAGCAAACAGG
rnacentral:rRNA from 1 species